rnacentral:misc_RNA from 1 species
GAUGAAGAACGUAGCGAAAUGCGAUAAGUAAUGUGAAUUGCAGAAUUCAGUGAAUCAUCGAAUCUUUGAACGCACCUUGCGCCCUUUGGACAUUCCGAAGGGCAUGCCUGUUUGAGUAUCAUGAACACCUCAACUCUCACGGCUUGUCCGUGACGAGCUUGGACUUUGGGGGUCUUGCCGGCCUGUGGUCGGCUCCUCUCAAAUGGAUCAGCUUGCCAGUGUUUGGUGGCAUCACAGGUGUGAUAACUAUCUGCGCUUGUGGUUUUCCAUCAGAUAACCUUCAGUGAUAUGGAGGUUCGCUGGAGCUCACAAAUGUCUCUCCUUAGUGAGGACAGCUCUUUGAACGUUUGAUCUCAAAUCAGGUAGGACUACCCGCUGAACUUAAGCAUAUCAUAAGCGGAGGA